CUCUAAACACAUUCUCAUUCUCAAAACACAUUCUACACUCUAAUGCACACGUCAUCCAUACUGGUAAACACAAGUAGCAAUGCUCAAAUACAAUUAGAGAAAACAUGUCAUUGAUUGAACACAACCACUCAAAAUUGAUGUCACCUGUUUCAAAUGAUGUGACACAACCAAUAUAAGCCAGUUCAGAGAGCAAACAGGUUGUUGAAGGUAGAAAGGAGAAAGUCUGAGCAUGGAUAGAAGAAACAAUGUGAGAGGACGAGUGCGUAUGCGAGGUGGGCGACGAGGAGGAGGAGGAGGCCGACGACAAGAAAGAGGGCGAGGAAGAGGAGGAGGGCGGCAAGAAAGAGGAAGAGGAGGAGGAAGACAAAGAGUGGAAAUAUCUGAUGAAACUCGAGCAACAGUCAUAGACCAUGUUCUUGUCCAUGGACUGACAAUGAGGGAAGCAGGACUAAGAGUGCAACCCAAUUUGAGCCGAUUUUCUGUGUCCACCAUAGUAAGGACAUUCAGAGAAGAGAACAGAAUUGCGAGGCUGCCACAUGCAGGUGGAAGGACGGCUUUAUUCACUCAAGAGCAAGAGGCCGUUAUACUGGGCAUGGUCCUUCAAGAUAAUGUAAUACGACUCAGAGAAAUCCAGGAACGAGUGAUACAAGACAACACACACUUCCAGGGAAUCAACAGUGUGAGCAUUUCCACAACUGACCGUGUCCUCCAUUGUAACAGGAUGCGAUUGAAACAAGUAUACAAAAGUACCCUUUGAGCGCAACUCACCAAGGGUGAAAGAACUGCGAGCUCAGUAUGUGCAAACAAUAUUUGACUUGGAAUCCUUGGACAGACCCCAUGACUUCAUCUUUGUCGAUGAAGCAGGCUUCAAUCUAACAAAGAGGAGACGGAGAGGCCGAAACAUCAUUGGACAGCGGGCCAUUGUUGAAGUCCCUGG